AUGAGAGCCACCUCCCCAUCUGCAGAUGCCCAGGAGCCAGGGAAGGAGGUGGAGGCUGACAAGCCCACAGCUAGUCCCCCAGCAAGCCAUGCUCCCCCAAAGACACCUGCGCGGACAGCCGCCAAGAGGAAAACAUCCCUGACAUCGGAUCUUCCCCUGUCACUACCACUGCCCCGGCCUGUUCCAUGGGGUCUAGUUCCUUCUGUCCUUUCCAACAUGGCCUCAGUCACUGUCCCCAUUUCUGGAGGCAAUGCCUCCUCACUAGCCAAACAACCCUCGGAUGAUGAUGAUGCUAUGGAUAUAAUACCACCUUCGCAGGCAUCAAAUUUUAUUGUCUAUCUCAAUGAACAACCACUCUGCAUUGAACCAGCACAUGCCGCGGGAGCGCCCCAGGUUGGGGAGCAGACGGCUUCUGCCCCUCCGGAAGCUCGCGGGCGCCCUCUCAGCCUGUCGGCCGCGGCCAUGGUAAGCUCGGCGCGGCGUCCUCUGCAGCCCUACCUGCGCCUCAUGAGGCUGGACAAGCCCAUGGGGACCUGGCUACUGUAUUUGCCAUGUACCUGGAGCAUUGGUUUGGAAGCUGAACCAGGUUGUUUUCCAGACUGGUACAUGUUAUCCCUCUUUGGCACUGGAGCUAUCCUGAUGCGUGGAGCAGGCUGUACUAUUAAUGACAUGUGGGACCGUGACUACGAUAAAAAGGUUAAAAGAACAGCAAAUCGUCCGAUAGCUGCUGGAGACAUUUCAACUUUCCAGUCCUUUGUUUUUCUUGGAGGACAGCUGAGCUUGGCACUGGGUGUUCUUCUGUGUCUGAAUUACUACAGCUCUGGGAGCAGCAUCCUUACUUCUCGUCAUCACUUACCCACUAAUGAAAAGAAUCACAUACUGGCCUCAGUUAGCCUUGGGGUUAACUUUUAAUUGGGGAGCAUUGCUUGGAUGGUCUGCUAUCAAGGGUUCCUGUGAUCCAUCUGUGUGCUUGCCUCUUUACUUUUCUGGAGUUAUGUGGACACUGAUAUAUGAUACCAUCUAUGCCCAUCAGGACAAGAAAGACGAUGUUCUGAUUGGUCUGAAGUCCACAGCACUGCUGUUCAGAGAAAACACUAAGCAGUGGCUCAGUGGCUUCAGUGUUGCCAUGCUGGGAGCACUGAGCCUGGUGGGUGUGAACAGCAGUCAGACUGCACCCUACUACACCGCUCUGGCCGCUGUCAGAGCCCACCUGGCUCACCAGAUUUACACUCUAGACAUCCACAGUCCUGCAGAACAGUAGGAAUGAUCCUUUUUUUAGGGAUCAUCCUUGGAAAUUUAUGGAAAGAAAAGAAGACAGAUCAAAUAAACAAACAAAGAUAGUAGAAUGGGAAAUUGGCCAAUGAACUAGGAGAAGUAACACACCUUUAAUCCCAGCAUUCAGGAAGUGGAAACAGGAGGAUCAAGAGUUCAAGACCAGCCUGGGCUACAAGCUACAUCAUAAGACAAUGCUCCUUAAAAACCAUAGGAUGGGGAUGAAGUUCAGUAGCAGAGCACAUACCCAGAAUGUGCCAGGCUCUGAAUAUCCUCAGCACCUAAAAACAAAAAUUAGCAAAUAGUUUAUCUAGGAAUUAUGAAAAUAUUUUUUAAAAAACAUUCUGAGUUCUUAUAGCCACAUUAUUAGAUUUGAAUGACUAGCCAGUUACAAUAUGUUAAAGAAGAACCAGAUGAAGAUUUAGAGCAUAUUUUCCUUGAUUCAAGUAAUUCAACUGUUUCCUAGCAAAAUUGUCUCUAGUCUCAAAAAUUAGGGGCUCUUUGGGAUUAAGUCGAUACAUUCUUUUGCCUUUUAUAAAAGUUGUAGGAAUUGGAUGAGUUUUAGCACUUUAGAGAAAACCUGAUAUGUGUCUUAUCUAAAUAAAUGUCUUCUUGAUCUGUAGGAAAAUGAACUUUUUUUAGGGGAAAAAAGUUCUAAUGGAAAAUUGGAGAAUAUUGUUAUUUUUUGUAACCAUCAGCCUCAACUAAAAGCUGUAAUUUAGGAAAAUAUUACAUUGUGUUUUAUAAUAAUUUAAAUAGCAAGUAAAAUUUUUACAUAUUAUA